CAAUGUGUUAUCUCAUUCUUAUGCCUCUAUAACUCUUAUGUUGUCGCGUUUCGGUUUCCCUCCGCCGUUUUGUGAGCACACCACCGCCAUCUUAUUUGUUUCUUGCUACUGCUGUUCUUGAUCUUCACAUUUUGGGUUGAGCAUGUUUGCCGGAUGGGUACACAGCUGUUGCAGACACAUUACAAUCAGCUACUUUCCAAACUAGCUUGGACUUAUUACGGGUCAACCUGCGCAGAGGCCGCCUCGUGGGGUUCGUACCGUGUGCCCACUUGCUCUUGUUCUCUCACCAACUAGGGAGAUAUCAAUGCAGAUACAUGAAGAGGCUAAGAAGGUUGCAUGCCAGACCGGGGUUAGGGUGGUUGUUGCUUAUGGCAGAGCUCCAGUUAACCAGCAGCUACGAGAGCUUGAGAGAGGGGGUGGACAUUCUUGUUUCAACUCCAGGAAGACUAGUAGAUUUGUUGGAAAGAGCUAGUUUCACUGCAGAAGAAUAGGUAUCUGGUCUUAGAUGAGGCAGCUAGGAUGCUGGACAUGAGUUUUGAACCCCAGAUUAGGAAGAUUGUAGAACAAAUAGAUAUGCCCCCAGCAGGUGAAGAUUUAAAGCUAUUUUGUUGUUGAAGGUGGAAUCUUGGCAAUUUAGUGGACUCAAUUUCUUAAUGUUUUUUGAGAUUGUUAUGUAUGACAUAAUAUGUCUAUUUUAAAUGUUAGUAAGAUAAUGUUUUCCACUACUAAGUAAAAAUAUUCUGCACUGCACUAUGGUGAACAUUGUUUAACUAUUGGUUUAUCGUUGUAAGACUUUUAUGUAAAUUUUUAAUAUA